rnacentral:rRNA from 1 species
GACGAACGCUGGCGGCGUGCUUAACACAUGCAAGUCGAGCGAGGCCCUCCUUCGGGGGGUGCCCUAGCGGCGAACGGGUGAGUAACACGUGGGCAACCUGCCCUCAGCUCUGGGAUAACUCCAAGAAAUUGGUGCUAAUACCGGAUGUGACCGCUGACCGCAUGGUCUGGUGGUGGAAAGAUUUAUCGGCUGAGGAUGGGCCCGCGGCCUAUCAGCUUGUUGGUGGGGUCACGGCCCACCAAGGCGACGACGGGUAGCCGGCCUGAGAGGGUGACCGGCCACACUGGGACUGAGACACGGCCCAGACUCCUACGGGAGGCAGCAGUGGGGAAUAUUGCGCAAUGGGCGAAAGCCUGACGCAGCGACGCCGCGUGAGGGAUGACGGCCUGGU